UGAGGAAUAUUGGCAAUGGGCGAAAGCCUGACGCAGCAACGCCGCGUGCGGAAUGACGGCCUUCGGGUUGUAAACCGCUUUCAGCAGGGACGAAGCAACUCGUGACGGUACCUGCAGAAGAAGCACCUGCCAGAUACGUG
rnacentral:rRNA from 1 species